GACGAGCCACACGAACGUUAUUCGGAAUUACUGGGCUUAAAGGGUGCGUAGGCGGUGCGGAAAGUUGGGUGUGAAAUCCCUCGGCUCAACCGAGGAACUGCGCCCAAAACUACCGCACUCGAGGAAGAUAGAGGUGAGCGGAACUUACGGUGGAGCGGUGAAAUGCGUUGAUAUCGUAAGGAACACCCGUGGCGAAAGCGGCUCACUGGACCCGAUCUGACACUGAUGUGCGAAAGCUAGGGUAGCAAACGGG
rnacentral:rRNA from 1 species